UACAGAGGGGGCAAGCGUUGUUCGGAAUUACUGGGCGUAAAGGGCGCGUAGGCGGCCUUCUAAGUCAGACGUGAAAUCCCCGGGCUCAACCCGGGAACUGCGUCUGAUACUGGAAGGCUUGAAUCCGGGAGAGGGAUGUGGAAUUCCAGGUGUAGCGGUGAAAUGCGUAGAUAUCUGGAGGAACACCGGUGGCGAAGGCGGCAUCCUGGACCGGUAUUGAUGCUGAGGCGCGAAAGCCAGGGGAGCAAACGGG
rnacentral:rRNA from 1 species